GAUGAAGAACGCAGCGAAAUGCGAUAAGUAGUGUGAAUUGCAGAAUUCAGUGAAUCAUCGAAUCUUUGAACGCACAUUGCGCCCCUUGGUAUCCCGAGGGGCAUGCCUGUUCGAGCGUCAUUUCACCACUCAAGCCUGGCUUGGUGUUGGGCGACGUCCUCUUUGGGGACGCGCCUCGAAACGCUCGGCGGCGUGGCACCGGCUUUAAGCGCAGCAGAAUCUUUCGCUUUGGAAGUCGGGGCCCCGUCUGCCGGAAGACCUGCUCGCAAGGUUGACCUCGGAUCAGGCAGGGAUACCCGCUGAACUUAAGCAUAUCAAUAAGCGGAGGA
rnacentral:misc_RNA from 1 species